UAAAAAAAAAUCUUCAUUUCCAUUUUGAAGGCUGACGCAUCGUUUUUUUUUUUUUUGUGCUUCGAAAACUUUUAUAAUAUAACAUUUCAGUUGAUACUAAGACUUGCCAAUCUCAAGAAUGAAGCUAUUGUUUUUCCUGCUUCUGAUAUUGGCUGCUUUCUCUCAUGGUUGUCAAAUAGACGUAAAACAUUGGUGUCAUCACGACUCUGAUUGUUCUGAAGGAUACAAAUGCAAAUAUUAUGUCGACAUGAGACAUAACGAAUGCAUUAAUGACGACAAAAAAUGAUAAAGUAUUCAAGUUUUCUGUCUUACACAUAAUUAUAAAUAUUAUGUGAAAGUAAUAAAUUAGCAAAACAUC